rnacentral:lncRNA from 1 species
UGAGAACUUACUCAGAGAUUUUAGUCUACUCAGGUGUGAACUUAAUCAAAAGUUUAGUCUACUCAGGUGUGAAUUAAGAAUGGUCAGUCCUUUGGAAAACUUCUACUGUGAUUGGUAGAUGUGAGAACUUAGGGGAGGCGACAUAGGAGAAAAUUCCCUUUAAAAGGAGGUCAAAAAGAGGUCUCUGGAGAUUCAGCUGAGAAAAGCUGAAUUGGAGGAGGCAGCUGGCCAAAGCUGCCUUGAAGGCACUCUUUUGGGACUCCCUCUCAGAGAACUCUCUGGAGAUUGAGCUGGCCAAAGCUGAACUGGUGUCUCUCUGAACACUAGAAUCUUGCUUGGACAAAUCUUGUGGUUAUCAUAUUUUGAAGUCCCAUCAAGAUCCCAAAGUUUCUGUGUCCUGGACCACCUGCUAAAAUGACACCAGAUGUGGGGAGCCCACAGGAACCAAUUAAAUUCCAGUCUGGGCUUAACUUGGCAGAUUGACUGGGAUGGGAGCUUGAUGCAUGUUGCAAUGACUGAACAACUAUCCUGCGAUGGAUGCUUCUCACCUUGGUUCCUAAUAAGCCUAAAGCCAACUCUAACAUACAUAAGGAAGCCUGGAGGAACACACUUUGGGGAAAAUGAUGACUUUGGUUAAUGGAGAUGUUGAGUUAAAAAAAAAUUAUUCAAGUUUGGGAAAAUUGUUACAUUAUACAAAAUUAUAUUACAUAUGAUGUAUAUGCAAUUUGGGAUAAUUAUUCAGAAUAAUAUGUUUUCAGAUUCUGUGACAGAAAUGGCCAUCAUAGGUGAGAACAUAAACUGUAUGGGUAAAUUCUAUAGGAAGAAUUGAUAUUCCUAUUACUUGUAAAAAAGAAAAUUCAGUGCUCAUAAACAAGCUACAUAACAAAGAAAUUCCAUUCUAAAAUUUAAUUUAGCUUUUAGAGCAUGAAGAUCCCCGUUUUUACACUUAAAACACUCCAUGAUUCUGCACGGCAUUCCCCAUGUCUCACCCUUCAGUUUCACACUCCUUGUAUGGCUUAAUACAGGAAAUGUACCACAUAAAUAACAAAACAUACUGAAUUAACCCAGCCCCAAUCCUACUUCAGAUACAAAUUCCCAUGGAAACCUUACUAACCAGGUGGGAGUAAAGUCAAAUUUUUUUAGGCCCUCAGCUCGAUUGCCAUUAAAAGCUAGGAAUUUUAUUUCCAUGUCCCAACACUUUUUUGAAUCAGCCCUGAGUAUAAGAAAGCCACAAUUCUUCCCAAAUCUUUUGCUUUGAAGAUAUCUAACUGUAUUUGAAAAUGGAAUAUAUUUUCAUAUUUUCUGUUAAAUUAUAUCUGUAAAUCUUUUUGGAAGGCAAACACUGUGACACAACCUUUUAGCUCCUCAAAGAGGGGGAUGUGGGAUAUGCAAAAAUGACUGCAAAUAACUACUUUGCACCUACGUGUUUGCAUCCUCAAUCGCUCUCCCCUCCCCCCUCCGCGUUCUGGAGGUAAAGGUUUAUU